AAACUUGCCUGGCAGGGAAGUUAUCAUGAUUACAAAGACUGAGGAUCAGGGGGAUAGUUUUUUGUACGCUGAGCUUAGCCAUUAUACUCUAGCUGUGCUGUCACAUGUGGCUUUUCCAAAUGAGGGAAAGCCACUUCAUAAUUUGUGGUAGUGAUGGUUUGCAUUCACACUUUUCCCUG
ensembl:snRNA Gm24004 predicted gene, 24004